rnacentral:rRNA from 1 species
GGUUACUGCUAUCGGUGUUCGCCUAAGCCAUGCGAGUCAUAUGUUCUUCGGAACAUGGCGUACUGCUCAGUAACACGUGGAUAACCUGCCCUUGGGUCCGGCAUAACCCCGGGAAACUGGGGAUAAUUCCGGAUAACGCACAUAUGCUGGAAUGCUUUAUGCGUCAAAUGGAUUCGUCCGCCCAAGGAUGGGUCUGCGGCCUAUCAGGUAGUAGUGGGUGUAAUGUACCUACUAGCCUACGACGGGUACGGGUUGUGAGAGCAUGAGCCCGGAGAUGGAUUCUGAGACAUGAAUCCAGGCCCUACGGGGCGCAGCAGGCGCGAAAACUUUACAAUGCGGGAAACCGUGAUAAGGGGACACCGAGUGCCAGCAUCAUAUGCUGGCUGUCCGGGUGUGUAAAAUACACCUGUUAGCAAGGGCCGGGCAAGACCGGUGCCAGCCGCCGCGGUAACACCGGCGGCCCGAGUGGUGAUCGUGAUUAUUGGGUCUAAAGGGUCCGUAGCCGGUUUGGUCAGUCCUCCGGGAAAUCUGACGGCUUAACCGUUAGGCUUUCGGGGGAUACUGCCAGACUUGGAACCGGGAGAGGUAAGAGGUACUACAGGGGUAGGAGUGAAAUCUUGUAAUCCCUGUGGGACCACCUGUGGCGAAGGCGUCUCACCAGAACGGGUUCGACGGUGAGGGACGAAAGCUGGGGGCACGAACCGGAUUAGAUACCCGGGUAGUCCCAGCCGUAAACGAUGCUCGCUAGGUGUCAGGCAUGGCGCGACCGUGUCUGGUGCCGCAGGGAAGCCGUGAAGCGAGCCACCUGGGAAGUACGGCCGCAAGGCUGAAACUUAA